rnacentral:rRNA from 1 species
AUUGAACGCUGGCGGCAGGCCUAACACAUGCCAGUCGAGCGGAUGAAGGGAGCUUGCUCCUGGAUUCAGCGGCGGACGGGUGAGUAAUGCCUAGGAAUCUGCCUGGUAGUGGGGGAUAACGUCCGUAAACGGGCGCUAAUACCGCAUACGUCCUGAGGGAGAAAGUGGGGGAUCUUCGGACCUCACGCUAUCAGAUGAGCCUAGGUCGGAUUAGCUAGUUGGUGGGGUAAAGGCCUACCAAGGCGACGAUCCGUAACUGGUCUGAGAGGAUGAUCAGUCACACUGGAACUGAGACACGGUCCAGACUCCUACGGGAGGCAGCAGUGGGGAAUAUUGGACAAUGGGCGAAAGCCCGAUCCAGCCAUGCCGCGUGUGUGAAGAAGGUCUUCGGAUUGUAAAGCACUUUAAGUUGGGAGGAAGGGCAGUAAGUUAAUACCUUGCUGUUUUGACGUUACCAACAGAAUAAGCACCGGCUAACUUCGUG